GAAAUGCGAUAAGUAAUGUGAAUUGCAGAAUUCAGUGAAUCAUCGAAUCUUUGAACGCACCUUGCACUCCUUGGUAUUCCGAGGAGUAUGCCUGUUUGAGUGUCAUUAAAUUCUCAAACCCUCCUAGUCUUUAUUGACGAAGAGGCUUUGGAUGUGGGAGUUGCUGGCUUUUACGAGUCAGCUCUCCUUAAAUACAUUAGUGGUUACUGUUCAUCCACUUCCUGGUGUGAUAAUUAUCUACGCCUAGUGGUGAUGUUAAGUGUAGCUGCUCUCUAACCGUCCAUUCUAUGUGGACAACUUGAACCCUUUGACCUCAAAUCAGGUAGGACUACCCGCUGAACUUAA
rnacentral:misc_RNA from 1 species